UCUAGCUUACGCUGAUGACCUGGUUCUCCUAUCGGAGACCGAGGCUGCACUGACAAGCCAGCUGAACUCAAUUGAAAAGAGUCUAGCGCACUGUGGUCUCAAGCUCAGUACGGGGGACGGUGGUAAAUCUGCUUCGCUGAACAUCGUGAUUGAUGGUAAAGCUAAGCGGUGGGUUGUAAACCCUACCCCGUUCCUACGUGCGUCUGGUGGCGAAAUUCGAUCUCUCGUCGCAAAUGAGACGUACAAGUACUUGGGCAUUAACAUCGGAGCCCAGGGCGUGAAAGCUGCUGAAUACAAUGCAUUCAAAGAAGCACUCGAUAACUUGUCUCGAGCUCCACUUAAGCCGCAGCAGAGGUUAUUCCUGCUGAAGACCUAUCUGUUGCCGCAACUACACCACUCACUGGUAUUGUCAAGGACAACUGGCAAACUAUUGAACAGCCUCGAUGCUCUCGUAAGAAAAGCUGUACGGGGAUGGCUUAAAUUGCCACACGACACUCAUAGGGCCUUCUUUUAUGCUCACCAGGCCGACGGGGGACUCAAUGUCCCAAGUCUGUACCAUCUAAUACCUCUCCUAAGGAGGAGUAGGUAUGAACGCUUGACGAGGGUCGAAGACCCUGAGAUAAGGGAAGUGUCCCGAACCGACUACUUCAAAAGAGUCUUGGGUGCCGCGGCGGCGGCCACCACGGUUGCAGGGCAUCGAAUUGAUUCCAAAGUAACGUUGCGCCUAGCUUGGCGCGAGGCCCUUUACGCUUCAGCUGACGGGCGGGGUCUCUCCCAAUGCCCGUUGGUACCCGAGGUUCACUCCUGGGUUACCGAUGUUUCCGGUCUUCAGACCGGAUCGCAGUACAUCUCUGCUGUUCGCUUAAGGGGGGCCUUGCUUCCCACGGCGGUAAGGAAAUCGAGGGGUCGCGGGGGUGUUAACUCGAAUUGCGACUGUUGCGGUCGUGGACAACCAGAGUUUCUUGGGCACGUUCUCCAGACGUGUCCUCGGACCUGGGGGUCUCGCAUCAGUCGUCACAACCACGUCCUCUCCCUUAUCGCUAAAGCGUGCCGUUCGCGAAGAUGGCAGGUGCUGGAAGAGCCGAUCAUCCAGACUCCUGCGCAGUUGCUCAAGCCGGACUUGGUGAUCUGGAACCAUCAAGCGGCGUACGUCGUUGGCGUUAGCGUACCGGGUGAUAACACCCCGCUCAGUACGUGUCACAACAGGAAAGUCGCAUAUUACUCUGGUGAGAGCGUUCGUGAAUGGGUGCGUUCCAAGACUGGGCAUAAUCCUACAGUGUCCUCUGUAGUGAUUAACUGGCGCGGUGCCAUGACAAAGGAGUCCUACCUCCUUUUGACGAAAGACCUUCGUCUAGCGAAGACCCUGCCUCGUCUGCUGGUACUAAGAGUUCUGGAAGGCGGCCAUGGAAUCUGGCUCAAUUUCCAUCGGUCGACCUUCGCCGUGGGAGUAACUUGAUGGUGGGGUACUCGCCUCUGUGUAACAGGCAAAUGAAAGCUGUGCAAGCAGUCGAUGAGAUAAAGCCGCACAGCCCCCGACUGGGGUACAGGGCAGCCCUGGGCUAUGCCCGAAGUCUUUUGACAGGUCCAAACUUCACCCUUGCCGCCAGUAGGGCACCAGGGCCAGGUGCAGGUGGGCGCUUUGUUCUAUUUGGUUUCGCUUAAUUUUUGUUAAAUUUUUCCCGUGCGCCCACCCUUUUUAACCCUUUUAACACCAAUUUUUUUUACAACCCUCUACUCAAUAAUCCAAAUGAAUAAAAGCGGCAUAACAGGUGAACACAAGGUAGCCAAAUGCCUCGUCAUCUAAUUAGUGACGUGCAUGAAUGGAUUAACGAGAUUCCCACUGUCCCUAUCUACUAUCUAGCGAAACCACAGCCAAGGGAACGGGCUUGGCAAAAUCAGCGGGGAAAGAAGACCCUGUUGAGCUUGACUCUAGUCUGACUCUGUGAAAAGACAUGAGAGGUGUAGAAUAAGUGGGAGUAGCAAUACGUCGGUAAAAUACCACUACUCUUAUCGUUUUUUUACUUAUUCGAUGAAGCGGAAGCGAACCGCAAGGUUCACGUUCUGGAUUUAAGGUCUCUCUUUUGCAGACCGAUCCGUGUCGAAGACACUGUCAGGUUGGGAGUUUGGCUGGGGCGGCACAUCUGUCAAACGAUAACGCAGGUGUCCUAAGGUGAGCUCAAUGAGAACAGAAAUAUCAUGUAGAACAAAAGGGUAAAAGCUCACUUGAUUUUGAUUUUCAGUAUGAAUACAAACUGUGAAAGCAUGGCCUAUCGAUCCUUUAGUCUUUAGGAGUUUUAAGCUAGAGGUGUCAGAAAAGUUACCACAGGGGUAACUGGCUUGUGGCAGCCAAGCGUUCAUAGCGACGUUGCUUUUUGAUCCUUCGAUGUCGGCUCUUCCUAUCAUUGCGAAGCAGAAUUCGCCAAGUGUUGGAUUGUUCACCCACUAAUAGGGAACGUGAGCUGGGUUUAGACCGUCGUGAGACAGGUUAGUUUUACCCUACUGAUGAAGUGUUGUUGCAAUAGUAAUUCUGCUCAGUACGAGAGGAACCGCAGAUUCAGACAAUUGGCAUUUGCACUUGGCUGAAAAGCCAAUGGUGCGAAGCUACCAUCUGUUGGAUUAUGACUGAACGCCUCUAAGUCAGAAUCCUUGCUAGAACGCAACGAUAAUUACCUCCGGAGAAUCUUAGGCGAACAAGGAUAGAGAACGGGCUUGCCCGCUCUCCUGCGUCCCAAUGUGCCAAGAGGGAAAACAACCCUCAAGGCACUAAAGUAUAUCAAAGUUUAAAAU
rnacentral:rRNA from 1 species